rnacentral:sRNA from 1 species
AGACCUUGAACUCACAGAGAUCCACCUGCCUCUGUCUCCUGACUCCUGGAAUUAAAGGUGUGCACCACCACUGCUUGUGAGGCUAAUCUUCAUAAGCUCAUGUGGCUGACAUAGGAAAGUAUAGUGCGUGCAGCCAAGUAUAGUAAAUAGAUAAUUAUGACUGUUGCUAGUUUAGGGGAGGCUUGCAUUGCUACAGGACGGGGAUGUGUUCUUAGAAACGUGUCAUCAGGUGAUUGCAUUGUUGUUCAGUAAGCCACAUUUAAAUAAGUGUGCCUACCCAGAUGUACAGGCAUCCAUCCAUCCCAGCUUAGUCAUGUAUAGCAUGUUGCUGUGCUGAACAUGGUGGACAGCUAGUAUUACAGUGGUAAUUAUCUGAACAUCUGUUUAGAGAAGAGGUACUUCAAAAGUAUUAUAUGUAGAAGAUUUCCUAAGAGUUCAUAUCUGCGUAGGACCUGAGCUUGCAGAUCCUCCUGGAAGUUGUUGUGGGGAAGGCAGUGGACAUAGAUGAUGCCUACUGCCAGCUUUCUGAAUGUUGUACAUUUAGACUAAACUAUGUUUACGUUUUCAUAAAUUCUUAAUAGUUAAUUUUUAAUAUUUUUACUUUAUAAUUUUGACCUUUUAUCUUUUUGAUUUGUAAGAAAAUACAAUUAGCUUAAAAUACAAGUAUUGUACAUAUUCUCUCCUUAUACCUUUAUUUCAUAUGCUCUAUCUACUUUUAAUCUUUUGUAAUAUUGUGCAUGCGCUCACGCACGCACACACUCAACACACUCACUCACACACAUAUACUCACAUUCUUCUACCUAGGCCUGUUGAGAUUGGAGUCAAGAUUGACAUCUCCUGCUUCGUCCCAGUGUCCCAGUGAGGGUCUUUGGCACUGUAGGUGACCGGCCAUCCCAGUGUCCCAGUGAGGGUCUUUGGCACUGUAGGUGAUGGCCAUCCCAGUGUCCCAGUGAGGGUCUUUGGCACUGUAGGUGACGGGCCAUCCCAGUGUCCCGGUGAGGGUCUUUGGCACUGUAGGUGAUGAGCCGUCUCUUCUGAUGCAGUAGCUCCCUCCUCUGGGUCACCCCGGAGUGACCAUUUGGCUUACCAGUCUCUCUUGUUACACAUAGAACAUAGAACCAGGUUCCCAUAGAACUGUAGAAGAUCUAGCUCACUGUUACAGACUGAUGCCACACAGAAAGGGAGCAGGGUUCCUCUGGUCGCCUGGAGCACACAGGUUAUUAUGACAUGGGGAUGACUUCCAUGAAGUAGAAAAGCUUGGAGUGUUGUAGAAAAUCAUUAAUUUGAGAGCUGUAGUAACUUGGGGUGUGGAUUCAGUUUGCAAAUCUGAUCCAAACUGGGCUUCUGUUAGAGCACAAGGCUCCUUUCGCAUGUGAGAUCCACAGCUUGGGAACAGUGUUCGUUGAAGCCAGAGAUUUGAAUAUCCAGGAGUAUGUGGAUAUCAUACCCCGUGUCCAUGUAUCCUAGACUGUCAGAAGUUCUGUGGUGCCCUCCAGCAAACCCAUCAGCUGUUGACCACAGACUUCCCUCUUCACAAGCGAGAGUUGUGUUCUUUUUAACAUUUAUUUGUGUGUGUGUGUGUGUGUGUGUGUGUGUGUGUGUGUGUGUGCUUGCGUGUGCGCUUGCAUGUGCAUGUGAUAUGGAAGUCAGGGAACAGCUUGGGGGGAUCAGCUCUCUCCUUUGACUAUGCGUAUUCCAAGGAAUGAAUUUGGGUUAUCAAGUUUGGUGUCAAGUGUCUAUCCCCUGAGCUAUCUUGCAGGCCUGAGAAGAGUCUUCAUGAAAUGAUCUCUCACUGACUCUGGCUAAGGAGCUGCAAAUUAGUUCCUACAGUAUAGAAUGGAUUGAGUAUUUCCACUGAGUAUUUUAAAGGAACUUUAGAUGGUAGUCUUGUGAAUUGUUUGAGAUAUAUAAAUACUGUGUGUGGUCACAUUGCCUUCAAGAAAGACUUCUCACAGUGAAACCCUGUCUUUGUAAACCAAAUAAAAUAAAAUAAAAAGAGAUUUCUUUUUAUUGAAAGAGAUGUCUGUAUGAACUUUAUGGUCAAGUUAGUGUCAGGUUCCAAAUGUUUGAGGACACGGGCUUGGAAGGUGGCUUAGUGGGUAAGUGUUUGCUAUGAAAGCAAGAAGACCCGAGUUUGGAUCCUUAGUCUUGACCUAAAAUCCAGGUGUGGCUGUGCACUGGAUUAUAACCUGCUGCUAUGGAGGGAUAAGGAAAAGACAAAACCGUUAUUGGAUCUUGCUGACUACCAGUCUGACUUCAAGUUCACCGAGACGGGCAGAACUAGACACCCUGGAUCCUCCUGAAACCCUUCACACACACAUGGGUGUAUGCACCAUACACUUACAUGCACACAGAACACAUACAUGCACACAGAACACAUACAUGCACACAGAACACAUACAUGCACACAGAACACAUACAUGCACACAGAACACAUACAUACAGUUUGGGCACAGUUGUCUUGGGAGUACAGAGGAGAACUUAAGCGCACUAGAAGCUCAGGGCUUUCUGGUGUGUCAGAGCAGGGACGCCAAGGACACUACAGAUGAGGUAAGAAGGAAGGCCCGACCCCACUCCCUUUCUUCUCAUUGCUGGGCCAGCAAAUGUAUUGUUGGAGAGUGAAUAAACUUUGUCCAGUUUAGCUUAUUGACAGUGUUUGUUGACAUGCUUAUUUUAAUAAUCCAGUCUCUCUGCCUCUGUCACACACAUACAUGACACUCUGGCAAGGGGAAUACAGGUGAUCAAGCUUGGUGAGAAGUGUCCACUGAGCUGCCCUGCCGACCCAAGUUAGAGGCUUUGAGUUAGAAAUACUGUGUACACGUCUGCUGAGUGGUCAGUGCUGUAGAGAGGGGACACUGGAUCACAGACUGAAGGGAAUGAUGAAAGUUAGCUUCCUUAGUCAGGGAGUUGGUUGAAGUAUCUUAGGCCUUGGAACAGGGAGCUAGGGAGAGGCCUUUGUGGUUACAGCACUUGUUGCUCUUGCAGAGGACCCAGGCUUGAAUCCUUAGACCUUCAUGGUGGCUCUUAACUGUCUUUAAGUCCAGUUCCAGGGAAUCCAAUGCCCCUUUUGAUCCCUGUAGUUACCAGAGACAUGCAUGGCACACCUACAUACAUAGACAUUAAACAAAUCUUAAAAAAUGUUAAAUAAGUUAUAAUAAUAGCUUGAGAUAACAGAUUUGUGUAUUAGACAGCUGCUGUGCUCUGGGAAAACGGUAUGCAUAGUGUGUAAUAUUGGCCUGAUAUCCCCAUGGUGUCUCCUCCUUUCUUUGGGGAAAUGGGAUUUAGGAACAGGGGCAGCAUGGCAACAGGAAUGUCACCAACGCCCUGGCCCAUGUGGCUUAUGCUAAGCAAGGUUGGGGAAUCGCACAUGAGGCUUUGUUAGGGAAGAGGAGAGUGCCCAGCUGAUAGGUUUCAGAGGUCGGACCGUAUACUGUAGAGGCUUGGGGCGUAUGCACACUUGAUUGGAGAUGACACCAUGCGGAGUCCUGACCACCCUGAGUGAAGAGAGUACUCAGGUUCUGAUGUCUUGUCUGCUUUGCGUUCUUUAUGGAUAGACACCUUUCUUUUCCAUGGGUAGGUGUCUCCAGCCCGCACUGCCAGGCUGUGAGCAUGUCCCCAUUGCCUUCCAGGGAAGCCGUCCACCCACUAGGAACAUGCGUGUCCUUGAGGGACUAGGAAUAUGCGUGUCCUUGAGGGGACAGUGGCUGUGGUUCAGUCUCCAUCUUGCUGCUGAUGGGUGAUGUGAGCCGUUCUCCUUUGUUGACUUGGCUUUCAGAGAUAUCCUUUGAGAAGCUUUGUAAAAUCUGUUUUGUAUUGAGACUUGUACCUGUUCCUUGUGUUCUGGGCACCUGACCUUUAUCAGGUGUUUAUAGGGCCUGCUCAGCUGCUCAUAUGCUGCUUGAGAACUGAAACCUUUGGUGGCGUCUUGAAGGAGCUGAAGCGUCCUGCUCCCUCCCAUGGAGUAAAUUUUAUCAUCUUCUCCUUUGUUGGUCCUGCUACUGGGCCUUUCAGAACCUUGGCCACCCUUGAGAUUUAUUCAACACUGGUAGAUAGAGCAGGCGCGCGUUACCACAUCCCUUGGCCUGUGCUUGACGGCCAGCAGGUAGACGACUCUGUGCUUGACGGCCAGCAGGUAGACGACUCUGUGCUUGACGGCCAGCAGGUAGACGACUCUGUGCUUGACGGCCAGCAGGUAGACUCUGGUUGAACUACACUGUACUUCACCUUAGUUUUGUUGCCUUCGAUUCUGAAGUAAGUCUGGGUUCCAGAUACGUUAAAUCUGAAAGGGUGCGUGUUUCGGGAACAUUGGAAGUUUGCUUUCUGCUUCCUCUUCAGUCUGUAGCCUUCACUUUGUGACUGUUGCCUGAGACUACUGAAGGUCCUGAAAUCCUAGAACCCAGUUUCACUGGGGACUGAAGGUCAUUAAUAAGAUGUUGAAUUGUGCGUCUACCUUAUCAGACCCGAGUGGAGGGACAGUUUCGGAGGGAGUGGAGUGGGCGUGUGUUUACUGGAGUGACUGAGACUGCAGUUUCAGCAAGGACGGGCCAGCUCUGGUUGCUGCUGCCACAGCCUACUGUGGGCCUCCAUAGUAGGUGACACGGGGAAGGGGUGCUGUGGUUUCUGUGCCCUGGUUCUGUGGAUUUAGGUGAGACUGGAGGCUUCCAUUCUUCCGUGACUCCAGAGAACAGGAGCCAUUGUUGUAGAAGUGACGGCUCUCCUUAAUGCAAGUGAUUCUUGGCUCCCAAAUCUGUUGAGUUUCUGCCUUGUCAGCUUGAGAACAGUUUCUUGUUUAUUCUUUGAGACUUUCUUACAUGUAUAUAAUGUAUUUUGAUACCAUCCACUCUGCCCCCUGUUCCUACUCCCCAGACCUUUCUCCUGUGACCGCCUUUGUUUUAUGUCAGCUUGACAUAAGCUAGAGUCCUCUAAAAGGAGAGAACUUCAAUGGAGAAAAUGCUUCCACAAGAUCUGGCUGUGAAUAUAAAUAAAAAAAAUCCAAUCAAAAAAAAAGGUCCUGCAUUCUCUUAAACAGUGAUUGGCGGGUGUGGGCCCAGAGAAUUAUGGGUUCUGUAAGAAGGCAGGCUGAGCCCAUGAUGAACCUAGCACUGCCCCAUGGUCCCUGCAACACUUCCUGCCCUGCCCUCUCUCCGAGAUGGACUGUGACCUGGAAGUGUAAGCUGAUAAACCCUUCCCUCCAGCCUGCUUUUUUGCUCAUGGUCUUUUCAUCACAGCAAUACCAACCCCACUAGGACACCCCUCUAACUGUAACCUCCUCUUUUGUGGUGUGUGUGGUUGUCAUCUGUUUGGAUGAUGCUAGAGAUGGAAUUUAGGGCCUCCUACAUGGUUAGCAAGCUCUCCACUGUCGAUCUUUAUCUCUCACCUGUGCUUUCAUUCAUUCAUCUAUUUACUUGUCCAUCACCGACAGGGUUUUACCGUGUUGCCCAGGUUGGCCUUAUGCAUUUUAUCCUCUGGUUUCUUCUCGAGUAAUUGGGAUAACAAGCCUGUCUUCCUAGUUAGCCUAGAUCUUAAUUGUCUUGGGGAAUGGGGAAAAUACAGUUAAGAAGGUCUUACAGGUUGAAAGCUAGGUCAAUUGUAGUUGAAUUCCAAGUUUUACAGUGUGGAGUGAAGGGGAAGCAGUGGGAAGGUGGAGGAAAAUAACUUAUUUGCAGAAUAUUAUAGGACAUAAUGGAGUAGAAGUUGAAGUGAUGAGAGAAGUGGGUUUAGGUGAUUACCUGGAGUCAGCAAAUGAGGACUUUGGACUACAUCGAGUGUCCAGAAGUUAACAGUACUUGAUAGUUUCCCAAAUGGUUAAGCAAAAAAAAAAAAAAAAAAAAAAAAAAAAAAAAAAAA